ACGGAAGGCAGCAGUGGGGAAUAUUGCACAAUGGGCGAAAGCCUGAUGCAGCGACGCCGCGUGAGUGAUGAAGUAUUUCGGUAUGUAAAGCUCUAUCAGCAGGGAAGAUAAUGACGGUACCUGACUAAGAAGCACCGGCUAAAUACGUGCCAGCAGCCGCGGUAAUACGUAUGGUGCAAGCGUUAUCCGGAUUUACUGGGUGUAAAGGGAGCGCAGGCGGUACGGCAAGUCUGAUGUGAAAGCCCGGGGCUCAACCCCGGUACUGCAUUGGAAACUGUCGAACUAGAGUGUCGGAGGGGUAAGUGGAAUUCCUAGUGUAGCGGUGAAAUGCGUAGAUAUUAGGAGGAACACCAGUGGCGAAGGCGACUUACUGGACGAUAACUGACGCUGAGGCUCGAAAGCGUGGGGAGCAAACGGGAUUAGAUACCCUGGUA
rnacentral:rRNA from 1 species